AACGAACGCUGGCGGCAUGCCUAACACAUGCAAGUCGAACGAAGCCUUCGUGCUUAGUGGCGCACGUCUGCGUAACGCGUGGGAACCUGCCCUUAGGUUCCGAAUCACUCCCUGAAAGGUGUCCUAAUACCGGUUAAUCUCUUCGGACCAAGGAUUUCUGGCGUUUGGAUGGGCCCGCGUUGGAUUCGCUAGUUGGUAGGGUAAUAGCCUAGCAAGGCGUCGUUGCAUAGCUGGUCGGUGAGGAGGAUCAGCCACACUGGGACUGAGACACGGCCCACACUGGUACGGAAGGGAGCAGAGGGGAAUAUUGGACAAUGGGGGAAGGCCUGAUCCAGCAAUGCGGCGGGAGUGAGGAAGGCCGUAGGGUUGUAAAGCUCUUUUAGCCGGGAUGAUAAUGACAGUACCGGGAGAUUAAGCACCGGCUAACUCCGUG
rnacentral:rRNA from 1 species